rnacentral:sRNA from 1 species
CUUAUCGGUUUGUUUGAUGUUACAGCCAAGGGUCUGUAGCUCAGGUGGUUAGAGCACCGUCUUGAUAAGGCGGGGGUCGUAGGUUCGAGUCCUACCAGACCCACCAAGUUACGGGCGGCGGAGAGCGAUCUUGCCGUGAACUGGGGGAUUAGCUCAGCUGGGAGAGCACCUGCUUUGCAAGCAGGGGGUCGUCGGUUCGAUCCCGUCAUCCUCCACCAACACCUUGUGGUAGCCAAACGCAAGCAUCGAGAGAUCGGUGUUUGCGUUUGGCAUUGCCAAGACGAGUAGUAACUCGGCUGUUCUUUAACAAUAUGGAAUGUAGUAAAGGUGUCGCGGCGCGUUGAUGAGGCGCGCAAUUUAAACGCGACACUGGGUUGUGAUUGUAUCAACCAGUAUUACGAGUGAUCGAAAGACCGCUUGGAAUACGGCACAACGCGAGAACUCAGCCUAUAGCGAGACAUACUCGUUAUAGGGUCAAGCGAAUAAGUGCAUGUGGUGGAUGCCUUGGCGAUCACAGGCGAUGAAGGACGUAGUAGCUUGCGAAAAGCUGCGGGGAGCUGGCAAACGAGCUUUGAUCCGCAGAUGUCCGAAUGGGGAAACCCGGCCCGUAUGGGUCAUCCCUUGCUGAAUACAUAGGCAAGGGAGGCGAACGCAGUGAACUGAAACAUCUAAGUAGCUGCAGGAAAAGAAAUCAACCGAGAUUCCCAGAGUAGUGGCGAGCGAAAUGGGAACAGCCUUGUACUCUUUAGCAGUAUUGUUAGCGGAACGGAAUGGAAAGUCCGGCCAUAGUGGGUGAUAGCCCCGUACGCGAAAACAGUAUUGUGGAACUAGGUGUACGACAAGUAGGGCGGGACACGUGAAAUCCUGUCUGAAGAUGGGGGGACCAUCCUCCAAGGCUAAAUACUCGUGAUCGACCGAUAGUGAACCAGUACCGUGAGGGAAAGGCGAAAAGAACCCCGGGAGGGGAGUGAAAUAGAUCCUGAAACCGCAUGCAUACAAACAGUCGGAGCCUGGAAACGGGUGACGGCGUACCUUUUGUAUAAUGGGUCAGCGACUUACAUUCAGUGGCAAGCUUAACCGAUUAGGGAAGGCGUAGCGAAAGCGAGUCCGAAUAGGGCGUUCAGUCGCUGGGUGUAGACCCGAAACCAAGUGAUCUAUCCAUGGCCAGGUUGAAGGUGCGGUAACACGUACUGGAGGACCGAACCCACUAACGUUGAAAAGUUAGGGGAUGAGCUGUGGAUAGGGGUGAAAGGCUAAACAAACUUGGAAAUAGCUGGUUCUCUCCGAAAACUAUUUAGGUAGUGCCUCGUGUCUCACCUUCGGGGGUAGAGCACUGUCAUGGUUGGGGGGUCUAUUGCUGAUUACCCCGCCAUAGCAAACUCCGAAUACCGAAGAGUGCAAUCACGGGAGACAGACAUCGGGUGCUAACGUCCGGUGUCAAGAGGGAAACAACCCAGACCGCCAGCUAAGGUCCCUAAGAUUGGCUAA